UACGUAGGGGGCAAGCGUUGUCCGGAAUCAUUGGGCGUAAAGCGCGUGUAGGCGGUUCGAUAAGUCUGCUGUGAAAGUCCAGGGCUCAACCCUGGGAUGCCGGUGGAUACUGUCGAGCUCGAGUCCGGAAGAGGCGAGUGGAAUUCCUGGUGUAGCGGUGAAAUGCGCAGAUAUCAGGAGGAACACCAAUGGCGAAGGCAGCUCGCUGGGACGGUACUGACGCUGAGACGCGAAAGCGUGGGGAGCAAACAGG
rnacentral:rRNA from 1 species